rnacentral:rRNA from 1 species
UACGUAGGGAGCAAGCGUUGUCCGGAAUCAUUGGGCGUAAAGCGCGCGUAGGUGGCCCGAUAAGUCCGCUCUGAAAGUCACAGGCUCAACCUGUGAAAGCACGUGGAUACUGUCGGGCUAGAGUCCGGAAGAGGCGAGUGGAAUUCCUGGUGUAGCGGUGGAAUGCGCAGAUAUCAGGAGGAACACCAACGGCGAAGGCAGCUCGCUGGGACGGUACUGACGCUGAGGAGCGAAAGCGUGGGGAGCGAACAGG